UACGAAGGGGGCUAGCGUUGCUCGGAAUCACUGGGCGUAAAGCGCACGUAGGCGGCUUCUUAAGUCAGGGGUGAAAUCCUGGAGCUCAACUCCAGAACUGCCUUUGAUACUGAGGAGCUCGAGUCCGGAAGAGGUGAGUGGAACUGCGAGUGUAGAGGUGAAAUUCGUAGAUAUUCGCAAGAACACCAGUGGCGAAGGCGGCUCACUGGUCCGGUACUGACGCUGAGGCACGAAAGCGUGGGGAGCAAACAGG
rnacentral:rRNA from 1 species